GAUGAACGCUGGCGGCGUGCCUAAUACAUGCAAGUCGAGCGAACAGACGAGGAGCUUGCUCCUCUGACGUUAGCGGCGGACGGGUGAGUAACACGUGGAUAACCUACCUAUAAGACUGGGAUAACUUCGGGAAACCGGAGCUAAUACCGGAUAAUAUAUUGAACCGCAUGGUUCAAUAGUGAAAGACGGUUUUGCUGUCACUUAUAGAUGGAUCCGCGCCGCAUUAGCUAGUUGGUAAGGUAACGGCUUACCAAGGCAACGAUGCGUAGCCGACCUGAGAGGGUGAUCGGCCACACUGGAACUGAGACACGGUCCAGACUCCUGCGGGAGGCAGCAGUAGGGAAUCUGCCGCAAUGGGCGAAAGCCUGACGGAGCAACGCCGCGUGAGUGAUGAAGGUCUUCGGAUCGUAAAACUCUGUUAUUAGGGAAGAACAAAUGUGUAAGUAACUAUGCACGUCUUGACGGUACCUAAUCAGAAAGCCACGGCUAACUACGUG
rnacentral:rRNA from 1 species